rnacentral:tRNA from 1 species
GUCCAUUGUGCUGAUUCUUUCAUCUGAGCAACUGACUUGUAAUCAGUAGGUCCCGGGUUCGACUCCUGGUGUCGGCA